UCAACAACAGAAUUAGCGAAAGUGAUCAGAGCACAGUCUCCAUGGAGCAAAGACCUGUUUUCUCUCAUGUGGCGCUGCUACCAAAUUAAACCGAACUGAAUCAGAAUUGACCUGGCUGGAUGUGAUCAAGCAGCUUGUACUGGAACCUCAAUUCUAAAGAAUCUGCAGGUGAGCUUGGGCAACACGCAGGCCUGGAUUUAAAGAGUACAGAAUACUGAGAUCAUUGUGGGAACUCCAAGCCAGGGCAGCAGCCGCCACCCCCAACUCCACUCAGUCCCAGAGCCCCCUAUAUACACCGCCAGCCGAUGGGCAUCAGGUGUGCCUCCUUGAGUCCAAACAAGCCACGAGGAUCCACAGGUGUGACUAAUUGAGCUCAAGGGUGAAAGGAGGGACGUCUACAAGACCCAGAGUCCAGAGUCCGUGAACUGGAUCAAGAACCGGAAUGCGGGCUCGAACCGGACCAUAACAGACAUGG